rnacentral:rRNA from 1 species
AGAGUUUGAUCCUGGCUCAGGAUGAACGCUGGCGGUAUGCCUAACACAUGCAAGUCGAACGGAACCUUCGGGUUUAGUGGCGGACGGGUGAGUAACGCGUGAGAAACUGCCCCUUGGAUCGGGACAACAGCUGGAAACGGCUGCUAACACCGGAUGUGCCGAAAGGUGAAAUAUUUAUAGCCAGGGGAUGUGCUCGCGUCUGAUUAGCUAGUUGGUGGUGUAAUGGACUACCAAGGCGACGAUCAGUAGCUGGUCUGAGGGGAUGAGCAGCCACACUGGGACUGAGACACGGCCCAGACUCCUACGGGAGGCAGCAGUGGGGAAUUUUCCGCAAUGGGCGCAAGCCUGACGGAGCAAUACCGCGUGAGGGAGGAAGGCUCUUGGGUCGUAAACCUCUUUCCUCAGGGAAGAACACAAUGACGGUACCUGAGGAAUCAGCAUCGGCUAACUCCGUGCCAGCAGCCGCGGUAAUACGGAGGAUGCAAGCGUUAUCCGGAAUGAUUGGGCGUAAAGCGUCCGUAGGUGGUUUUGUAAGUCUGUGGUUAAAGCGUGUAGCUCAACUACAUAUCAGCCAUGGAAACUACAAGACUUGAGUGAAGUAGGGGUAGAGGGAAUUCCCAGUGUAGCGGUGAAAUGCGUAGAGAUUGGGAAGAACACCGGUGGCGAAAGCGCUCUACUGGACUUAUACUGACACUGAGGGACGAAAGCUAGGGGAGCGAAAGGGAUUAGAUACCCCUGUAGUCCUAGCCGUAAACGAUGGAUACUAGGUGUUGCCCGUAUCGACCCGGGCAGUGCCGUAGCUAACGCGUUAAGUAUCCCGCCUGGGGAGUACGCACGCAAGUGUGAAACUCAAAGGAAUUGACG